CCUUUACUCGAACGAUUCAACACUGAGAUUUUGUUUGUUUUCGCCAGAACACGCGCAUACGUUAUUCGGCACUGUCGAUGGCGCCCAAUCACCGAACGGAGAGGGUUUUCCGCGAUAAUAACACCGAGUACCGCCUGCAAGCAGGCUAAGAAUAUGCGAGGCUCAGCUAGCAGAAAAAUAUUGUUUUGGUAGUCUGAUGAUGUGUUCUAAAGUGCAAAACCAAAUUGUGUUUAUAGUAACAACCUUAGAAUUAUUGACCAACUUUGUGGUAAUACUGUCUUCCUCAUAAUUUAUUCGGUUAUUAUUCUUAAUAUAGAGUAGAAUUUAAGGUCGCUCGCGCGUUAAUCAACAGAUCACAAACAGGGGGCGUUAUCAAUUUUAAACUUAGCACAGAGCAGUCAAUGUUAAUGCGAUUGCUCUAGAUAUUUUACCAAAGACGACUCAAUGUAUGGAGAGUGCAAACAUUUAAAAAUUGUAUUUGUAUUACCACUAAAUAAUGUAGUAGCAGAUAAAAAGUUAAUACUUAGCGGCAAUUACCACAUGGUUUUGUGUGGUACUUUAAUUUGUUUAAGAAUGGAGGAAUCUAAUGAUAGCUCCCUCUCUGGUAAGAUUGUUAAUAUUAAUGGCGUGGUGUCCUAAUAAUUUUUAAUCUAGAGUUCUUGUUUGGAUCCUCACAAAAUAGGAACGAGACUUCAAUAAUACCUUUAUUACGUAUGUGAGAAGCUAUCCAGAAAGUGACUAGCGCGUGCUAUCAUUCUGAAUCUGGAUUUUCUUGUUUGGAUCCUCUCAAAAUAGGGACGAGACUUCAAUAAGGCAUUUAUUACGUAUGUGAGAAGCUAUUCAGAAAAUGACUAGCGCGUGUCGUCAUUCUGAAUCUAGAUUUUCUUGUUUGGGUCCUCCCAAAAAGAGGUUUUAGGGUGCGAUAAUGUCUAGUUAAUGCUCUGUGCUAAUGAGACGCGCUUAAUGGAUAUUUAGUCAAUACUUCGUUAUCCAAAUUACCCCUUUUAAGUUCUCGGUAAAGGUAAACGGCGUGUCCGCGGAAAAAAAAAAUACAUGUACAAACUAUACAUCAAAUAAAAGAUAAAAGAUUGAAUUAUCUCCUGCAAGUUCUAUUUUUGCAAUAGCUAAUUCCGUGUUCAAGUUUUGAGGCCUUAAACUCAAAAGUACGGAGUUUACUAUAGAGCGUAAUGAACCUUCGCGUUAUUGCGCAUGCACUUGCACGUAAUUGCAUCUCAAUGACAGAUAGAUGAUCUACCAAAGUGUGUGAGGACUUUUUAUUAUUCGACACUGUCAACAAGAUAUCACGAAUCAAAGUUGGAACUCUCAUUUCUGGCGAAAUUUGGACACGAAAAGUGGUAUAAAAGCGAUCUUCAGUCGAAAAUCGAAAAUCCCUCACACAGUUUAUGACAUGGCAUAAUUAUCUCUAGGAUCCCGAAAAUUUGAAGGCGAUAUCUUAAACCCCGUCGCGAGGUUACGCCCGACAAGCUCGAGUUCUCGCCUCAAAAUAAUACGCUAGAAAAGUCAAAGAGUUGGCGUGAAUUCAGAGUCAACAGGUCACAGGAAACAGCAAAGGCCCAUUUUAGCUCUGUCGGCAUGCUGCGAUAAGAAAAGGUUGCGCCUUAGACGCGAUCAGUCCACUGGGUGUGUGAUGUUGUCUCGGUGGGCAAGCUGAGAUUGGCUGGGAUUUGUCUGAGUUAAGGCCCGGAGGCAAGCUUUUAUCGACACCAUAGUCUCUAGUUUUCGGUGCGAAGAAUGCCGUACAUGUGAAAGACAUUGGCAGAUCCCUGGACCUCCGAAUAAUUCGGUAGCAAAGCCGAGUAAAGCCACCACACCCUUAAAACCUGUCUGCCACAUACACUUUCAUUUGGAGUGGCACAACAAGACCCAUAACGCCGCACGCACCCGCACGCACCCGCACGCACCCGCACGCACCCGCACGCACCCGCACGCAAGUAACCGAACUAUUUCCAAUCAAAUAUCGUCAAAAGUAUCAGACUUCAUUCUUAUAUGAUUUUUUGGAAGUUUUCUUGUAAAUAGAGGGGUUUGCGGUGAUGCGGUUUCAAAAGCGGUUUCCAUUUUCCGCUGUUUUCAAUGGUUACUUAGAUUGACUUUUUUGUUAACAUCAGGCAAAGCGCCUCUUUUGUAUUAAACGCGCGGCAUGUGAUUGCGUCUAAUGAUGGAAGUUGUACAAAAAUUGUAUCGGUGUUCGUUAAAUUGUCUUAGUACCUGUUUUAAGGUAGCUAGCGUCAGAAUUUUAAAAUAUAUUUUUCGCCAAAUGUCAUUGGUACCAAUGAUUUCACACUUAGCGCCUGCUUACUAGUUAGCAGUUAUAUCCAUCGUGAGUCUGAACGACGUAUUGUACAUUUUGUUGUUGUUUUCUGUUUUUGGCGAUACUGCUAGCAGCCGGGAGGUUUUGCCAAGUCAUGGAGUCAGGGCAUGUGAGAAAACUGCGCGAACAUGCUGUGCGAAAAAUCUAAACUUUUAUGAACAAUUUAUUAGAGGCAUUUUGCUCUUGUCGACGAAGUUACGAUAAUUCCUAUGAUUUUUUUUUGGUUAAACGUGUGUGCACCUUGUAGAUAUGGAUGUUUGACUAAUUAUUUGACAGGUUUAUCUCUUCGCCAUAGUAAAUAGCCAGUCACAAUUGAAAAUACUUAGCGGCAAUUACCACUGUGCAAACGAUGUUAGCGCAUAUUAACGACGCUAAGUGUUUUUUAAUUGAUUUGUUUGUUCUUUCUGUUUGACAAAAUACAAUUCGAUUGUUAUUAAGGUCAUAUAAAAUGAGACACAUAUGAUUGGCAUACUUAGCAAAGUCAGCUGUCCCUUGUCUUCCUAAAAGCUUGUUAUAAUGCGAAGAGAUUGUGUUCUCCUAUUUCACUAGUUCUUCUUGGAGGUGAAAAAAGACUGAAUGAUACAGCAAAACUUUAUUCUUACGUCUUUACGCGCUAACAUAUAAAUUAAAGUAAUAUUCGGUACAGUCGGUAAUAAGGACCCUUUCCUUCAACUUAUUUGCAAGAGAAGAAUUCAAACGCACAGGGACGGUAGAAAAAAUUGUGUACUCCAAUUCCACUAUCAUUCUGAAAUACGCUCCUGAAAAAAAUAUUUUACAAUAAUUUCAACCAGCGUGUAGGAGGUAUACUUUUUAUCAGGUCACUGGAAAUGCUUUUUAUUAGUGUUCUCAAAUCGAAAAGUUUUCUUUUCAAAUUAAACUGCUGAAAAGCGGAGCGCUUAUUUCUAGGCAAACUAUCCAAGCUUUUUCAACAGGACUUGACCAUAAUUAAGGCCUGGAGCUCAUUUCUUAAAACACCCGAGAAUUAUUGGGCCCGAAAACGAUUUAUUCCAUAAAUUUGGAAAGCUGGCUAAUUUCUAUAAAAUAUAUAGUAUCUAAAUGUGUUGAAAUAUCGUCAAACAUCGUAUUUUACCACAAAGAUUAAAGAUUUUCAAAAAGGAAAACAUGCGAAAUUUUGGGCAAAAAUGCAAAAUAAAGUUUUCGGGCCCGAGAAUUCUCGGGUGUUUCGAGAAACGGGCGCCAGAUCAUACAAAUGUGUCAACUGCUUUUUUCUUUUUUUAGUAAAUCAAGCUCAGUUUGACAGUGCUGAAAAACGCAAGACCAUAGUACCGCGCGGUUAAAACAGCCUUUUUGUUUUGAAAUGGCGGCGUUUAACCGGCGAACUGUCACAUUUUGGCGGAUGCUUAUUAAACUAGAUCAAACCAAAGGCUAAAAUUUCUUUAUGACCUCCCUCAUUAUCAAACAAAUCUGUCAUCUUUUGUACAGUAUGGUUUUAAUGCUGUACAGUAAGUCAAAACAGCGACCGAAGUCAGCCUUUCGUACCUUUAGUCGAACGAUUCAACACUGACAUUUUGUUUGUUUUCGCCAGAACACGCGCAUGCGCAUACGUUAUUCAGCACUGUCGCUCAGUUUAGCAUACACUGGGAUCAUCCUAGGGAAAGACUGGAAUCAUGUAUUACAAUCUAAUACAGCUCUAAAAAAUGUUUGGCUAGAAGCUCUUCGAUGGAACUGCACAAUAUGUAUAAGUACGUUGUUGUCACGUGCUCUUGUCACGUGAUCGCAGGCUUGAUCAUAGAGUCGAACCUCUUUCGUCAUCCGGGAUAACGAGGAAUCGCAGUCCCUAAUAUAGCCAGGCUACCAAGCUAAGGGAAAAGCCCCUUCGCACAGAUUUGCUAUCACUUCCCUGCUCAUAUGCAAUUAUUUUAUUAGGGGCAGUCGCAGGUUCGAUUUAAAGUGAAAAUGCUCGUGGACUCGUCCUUUCUUGGGAGCGAAAUAGACGGCUGAAAGAGUAUGUAGGUGUGAAAUCCGUUUGCAUCGCGCCGAAUUUACUCACAAGAAGACAAUCAAACAGCUUUUAGAUAGUGUCCAGUAGUUUUUCUCUGUGUUGGAUUGGUGACGGCAGCAUUCUUGAAUAAUAGCGCUACCGGUGAGACUGCCCCUUUAAGCUUGCAUUUCUAUACGUGGGAUUAGACCUUAAUACUGAAUUCCCAAGUUGUCUAGACAUCGAUCAGAAACUGAAUAAAAAAUGCCAAACCCAACGGGUAUUAUAUAUUUUUUUUAGAUUUCCUCGGGGCCUAAAAAUUCUUACUGGUUUUCAAUUCUCUUCGAAUUCUUGCCAACGAUUCCCUGACUUCCGUCAUUCGAAAAUCCUUGAAGCCGAUUCAUUGGCCAGCACUAAAAUGCUUUUCAAUCACGUGACCUCUUUGUAAGGUUCUGACCAAUCAUGAAGCACCAAAUAUAAUUCCGUUAGUUAGAAUGACUGAAGCCAGAAAGCGGUUUAACUGUUAGAAAUUAUUGACGGAAGUUCGCAGAUUAUUAAAAACCUCAACUUAAUAAAGGCUUCUCGGGCCCUGAAAUGUUCUUCAUAAAGACGAAAAAGUCGAACACCAGUGUCUGUGAUCAGUAAUGUUAUGGAACUAUUGUCCCAUGUAAACACUUAUCGCGCCUGGAAGAAUCUCUGUUAAGUUGUAAAACGUUUUCACACCCAAAGAACCGUGCUUUAGUUAUAUACAAUACUAUUGCUUAGUGGAUUAGUUAUAUACAGUACUGUUGUAUACAGGAUUAGUUAUAUACAGUAAUGUUGUAUACAGGAUUAGUUAAUAUACAGUAAUGUUGUAUACAGGAUUAGUUAAUGUACAGUACUGUUGUAUACAGGAUUAGUUAAUAUACAGUACUGUUGUAUACAGGAUUAGUUAUAUACAGUAAUGUUGUAUACAGGAUUAGUUAAUGUACAGUAAUGUUGUAUACAGGAUUAGUUAAUGUACAGUACUGUUGUAUACAGGAUUAGUUAAUAUACAGUACUGUUGUAUACAGGAUUAGUUAAUGUACAGUACUGUUGUAUACAGGAUUAGUUAUAUACAGUACUGUUGUAUACAGGAUUAGUUAUAUACAGUACUGUUGUAUACAGGAUUAGUUAAUAUACAGUAAUGUUGUAUACAGGAUUAGUUAAUAUACAGUACUGUUGUAUACAGGAUUAGUUAAUAUACAGUAAUGUUGUAUACAGGAUUAGUUAAUAUACAGUACUGUUGUAUACAGGAUUAGUUAAUAUACAGUACUGUUGUAUACAGGAUUAGUUAAUAUACAGUAAUGUUGUAUACAGGAUUAGUUAAUAUACAGUAAUGUUGUAUACAGGAUUAGUUAAUAUACAGUAAUGUUGUAUACAGGAUUAGUUAAUAUACAGUAAUGUUGUAUACAGGAUUAGUUAAUAUACAGUACUGUUGUAUACAGGAUUAGUUAAUAUACAGUAAUGUUGUAUACAGGAUUAGUUAAUAUACAGUACUGUUGUAUACAGGAUUAGUUAAUAUACAGUACUGUUGUAUACAGGAUUAGUUAAUAUACAGUACUGUUGUAUACAGGAUUAGUUAAUAUACAGUACUGUUGUAUACAGGAUUAGUUAAUAUACAGUACUGUUGUAUACAGGAUUAGUUAAUAUACAGUAAUGUUGUAUACAGGAUUAGUUAAUAUACAGUACUGUUGUAUACAGGAUUAGUUAAUAUACAGUAAUGUUGUAUACAGGAUUAGUUAAUAUACAGUAAUGUUGUAUACAGGAUUAGUUAAUAUACAGUAAUGUUGUUUACAGGAUUAGUUAAUAUACAGUAAUGUUGUAGACAGGAUUAGUUAAUAUACAGUAAUGUUGUAUACAGGAUUAGUUAAUAUACAGUACUGUUGUAUACAGGAUUAGUUAAUAUACAGUACUGUUGUAUACAGGAUUAGUUAAUAUACAGUACUGUUGUAUACAGGAUUAGUUAAUAUACAGUAAUGUUGUUUACAGGAUUAGUUAAUAUACAGUAAUGUUGUAGACAGGAUUAGUUAAUAUACAGUACUGUUGUAUACAGGAUUAGUUAAUAUACAGUAAUGUUGUAUACAGGAUUAGUUAAUAUACAGUACUGUUGUAUACAGGAUUAGUUAAUAUACAGUAAUGUUGUUUACGUAAACUUUUCUAAUAGAGUGGCUUCCAACGAGAGAUGGCAUCUCAUUUCAUGAUAAUCUAUAAAGCUUUUGGCUAAAACAAUAGCCUAUCGGCAAAUGAAAACAGCUAUAAGCCUGUAACGGGGUAUACUCGAAAACAUCCAUCAAAUUCGAAGAGCAUGUCGAGGCAAAUGUGAUAUCGUGUCAUUAGUGGUAUGAGUUCUAAAGAAUCAAUUUGUGUCCAUAAUAAAAACUUAGACAUUAUUGGCAUUGAUAAGUUUUGAGACGUAAAAUUGAUUGCAUAUCAAUGUUUGUGUUGAUUUAUAGCUCGCGUACGACGCAGACCAUCUACUUUAUUUACAGAUUGUUUGUGGUCUUUCUGUUUCUAUCAUUCAAUCAAUCAAUCAAUUUUAUUGGUAAAACUUGGUGACAACAUACAUGGGAAGAGCCAAAGCCGGAGACUUAAGUGGCUUAAGGUCAGAUAUAUUAAGAGUACAGGAGUGAAGAAUCGAUGUAUAGCUUGGUACAUGAAAAAAUAUAUAUAAUAAUACAAUAACAAUAUAAUAUUAAUAACAAUAACUAAACUAAACUAAACUAAAAUCGUUUGCUUGUAGUAGAGGUCGUCAUCGGACUUCCAGGUGUUGGUGAAAAAGAAAAGAUUAUGGAUCAAGGAAGUGGUGUUUGAGUUUGGAUCUGAAGUUGUGGGGUUUUAAGGAAUUUCUUAGGGAGAGUGGAAUAUCAUUCCAGAUGGUAGGGGCUUGAUAGGAGAUGGAGAAGUGAUAUUUGGUGUGUUUUUUAUGUAAAUUAUGCUUUGAGCGCGUGGAGUAAUUGUGUAUAUCGGAAUUGACACACAAAAUUAAAGAUAGAGACAGGGGUAGUAAGUUAUAAAGGUGUGAGAAAACAAAGCAAGAUCGGAGAGCUUUGUUUUUGGUGCUCAAGGCCUUUGUACUUUAUUUCAUUGUCUCGUUCUAAGGCCUUUGUUUUUGGCUUUUGUUCCAUUGUGUUUUUGGUGCUGGUGCUCCGUAACACCAAGAAACUACCAAGAUGUUUGAUAUUUGUAUAUAGAUGGCAGUGUCAGGAGAUUAUACGUGCUAGAUUAUGUAUGUUAGGUUGGUCCUCACUUGAAAAGACACUAGGAGGAGACACCUUGCCUUUGAGCUUGGUUCUCACUAGGACGAGACACCUUGCCUUUGAGCUUGGUUCGUACUAGAAAAAGGCGCCUACCCUGUUAGCUUGGAUCCCACAAGGACGAAACGCCUUUCCUAUAAGCUUGGUUCUCACCAGGACGAGGCACCUGCCUUUAAGCUUGGUUCUCACUAGGACAAGACGCCUUGCCUAUAAGCUUGGUUCUCACCAGGACGAGACGCCUUGCCUUUAAGCUUGGUUCUCACUAGGACGAGACGCCUGCCUUUAAGCUUGGUUCUCACCAGGACGAGUGAAAAAGCCGCACCAGUUUACUUCCGGUCGAUUACGUAACAAUCUCCGAUGACUUUUAGCGGAGACUGCGGAAAUUUUUUUUUAAAAAUUUUAAAAACAGUGUGUCUUUUGGAAGUUUUUUCGAGGAGAGAGCCGAGAACCAACAAAAAAAAAACGGGUCAGUACGCAGCUCUUACAAACUGCAAUUUGAUUGGGCAAAUGAACAAUAUCCGCACCCCGACACAAAGAACGAGAAGAAUAGAGACAAAAGAACUCAUUUGUAGAACAAAGAUAAUAGGAGACAAAGCAGCUGCGUACUUACUCAAAAAACCCACAAUUUAUAAGGAACACAUCUCAAUGAAAUAAAGUUUGGUUGCUGGCGUGCCGCCUUUGCCAGUCAACACAACAAGGAGGGAGUGGGGGCGAAUCCAAUAAACAAGUCUAGCAGGCUUUGCUAGCAGGCUUUGAAAGCAGGAGGAAAAAUUGAACAAAGAUAUCUGCAAAAGAUCAGCGAAAUAGAAAUCGACAAAGCUGUUUCAAUUUAAAGAAAAUCGUGUAACAAAGCAAAAUACAAACAUAAGUUGUAGGGCGCAUUGUACGCCUAAAAAUAUUUUGUAAAAA